CGUUGAUUGAUUAUGGUGAGACUAAUGUGAAACAUACCAUAAGUAAUGGUCAGAAUAAAACCCCAUGAGUAAUGGUCAGAAUAAAACCAUUGUACACACCGAAUGAUUUAUCAAAUCAGCAAGGGCUAAAAGCAAAUAAAUCAAAUCCCAGAAAUUGACACCCAUAUUGCUGAUGAGGGCAAGCGUCAGUGUAAUAAUAAGAUUGCUUGACCAGGAAGUCAUAAAUUCAAAUCAUAGAAAUAACCUUUUCACAAUGUAAGAAGACUCUGCAUCAGGACUCCAGAUAACAACGAGC
rnacentral:misc_RNA from 1 species